UCAAAUUAGAGUUCAUUUGGAAAUGGGGUUACAAAAUCCUUACAACAAUGACACUAGCGUGUAUGGAGCAGGGAGCAGAUGAGAGCUCUGGGCAACCUCGACGUCAGCUUUUGGAAAAAGACAAAUUCCACACACACACAUAUACGCACACCUAGAUGCAGAACGUCUACCAUUCCCCAAUGAAAUGUAAACAAGAAGGCAAGUAACACCCUAAGAAGUUUGCAGAAGUUUCAUGAUCAUAAAUAGGACUGUUUCAGGCUCUGCGGUCAGUCGUUUGAUUCCGGGUGUCUCCAUGGAUUCCGACUUCUUUUCGUUCUGCUCGCUAACUCAGGUGCAUGAGUCAGCAUUUGGAGUAUGAAUUUUUAAGCGGAACCUUGAAGAGUGCAUCCUGCUUUUCAUACCAGGUGAAGAAGAUUUUAAAAUGGCUGCUGUAAAAUGCAUACAAAAGGGUAGCCCAGAUGAUUCUGGUCUCUUCUUUUUUCCUCUGGGUUGUCUUGAUUAAGGGAGAGUUUCCUAGGACCUUACCCUCCAAACCUGGAACAACAUGUAAGUCAGAUCAGAUGCCAUUGAACCAUUUUUCUCCAUCCUUCUUUGAUGAUCUUUGUAUUGGUGACCAAUAGAAGAUUGAAGGAAAGAAGUCAGAGAUGGAAUUGGUUCAUUAUAUCAUUAAACAGAUCAUACUAUGAAGGCACCUGAAGCAUUGGUGCUUGGAACUCCUUUUCUGGUUCUUUCAAUUAAUAAAGAUUUUUUUAAGCAACUAUUUUCA
rnacentral:lncRNA from 1 species